rnacentral:rRNA from 1 species
AUAUGGCCUUUGGAUUGGACUGCGACCGAUCAGGCUGUUGGUGAGGUAAUGGCCCACCAAACCUGUAACCGGUACGGGCUCUGAGAGGAGGAGCCCGGAGAUGGGUACUGAGAAAAGGACCCAGGCCCUAUGGGGCGCAGCAGGCGCGAAACCUCUGCAAUAGGCGAAAGCCUGACAGGGUUAUUCUGAGUGACUUUCGCUAAGAAAGUCUUUUGACAUCUCUAAAAAUGGUGUAGAAUAAGGGGUGGGCAAGUCUGGUGUCAGCCGCCGCGGUGAUACCAGCACCCCGAGUGGUCGGGACGAUUAUUGGGCCUAAAGCAUCCGUAGCCGGUUUUACAAGUCCUCCGUUAAAUCCAACUGCUUAACAGAUGGGCCGCGGAGGAUACUAUAAGACUAGGAGGCAGGAGAGGCAAGCGGUACUCAGUGGGUAGGGGUAAAAUCCGUUGAUCCAUUGAAGACCACCAGUGGCGAAGGCGGCUUGCCAGAAUGCGCUCGACGGUGGGGGAU